rnacentral:rRNA from 1 species
AUUGAACGCUGGCGGCAGGCCUAACACAUGCAAGUCGAACGAGGGGCGGACGGGUGAGUAAUGUCUGGGAAACUGCCUGAUGGAGGGGGAUAACUACUGGAAACGGUAGCUAAUCCCGCAUACCAUCAGAUGUGCCCCUAUGGGAUUAGCUUGUUGGUGGGGUAAUGGCUCACCAAGGCGACGAUCCCUAGCUGGUCUGAGUGGAUGACCAGCCAAACUGGAACUGAGACACGGUCCAGACUCCUACGGGAGGCAGCAGUGGGGAAUAGUGCACAAUGGGCGCAAGCCUGAUGCAGCCAUGCCGCGUGGAUGAAGAAGGCCUUAGGGUUGUAAAGUACUUUCAGCGGGGAGGCGUUACCCGCAGAAGAAGCACCGGCUAACUCCGUGCCAGCAGCCGCGGUAAUUC